GCCAGUGGUAGUCAGCUGCCCGGUGCCAUCCUGUGCCUGUGGCUGUGUUACACUGCUGGCAGAUAAAGGUGAUGCCCUUCUAUACUGACUGCCAUACUUGCCGUUCUGGUAGUGUGGCGCUAGUAUUGGGCAGCACCAGGCUUCCUCGAGAGUGCGCUGAAUAUUUGUUUUGUUUUAGUGCUAGUUUGGAAGCUCACAAA